AUGCCUCCGAAGAGCAAAGGGAAGGGGAAAAGAGGAGUGAAGCAGCAGAAAAAGAGCAGCGCAGCGGAAAGCCAAGCUGAAGCGACGUCCAAGAGAGCGGCACCAGAGGCUGACAGCCUGGGAGAGCACCGGGGUAAGGGCUGGAGGAGCCAGGGGCUGGGGCAAGCUUGGGAGCAGAAAAAGGGUUGGAAAAACUGGGUGCUGGACAUGGCACUGAGCAGGGCACCCGGUGCACGGAGCCCCGCGGCUCCCCGUGCUUGCACGCUGCUCCGUGGCUGCUCCAGGGGUCGGAUCCCCGUGGGUCACCCCCCGGCGGGCACACAGACCCCACGGCAGCCCUGUGCCUCUGCCCCGCAGCUCCCUGGAGGGACACGGCCCAGUGGGCGAGGGCGGACAGCGAGGGGCUCCGGCGGAGGCUGUGGGAGCUGGAGCGGGCGCUGGAGCAGGCACGGGACGACAAGAGAGACAUGCACGAAGGUGAGGGAGAGGCAGGAGGGGGCAGACACAGGGACCCCACACCCUGGGACGCCACCGAGCUUACCCCACCUCUCCCUUUGGCCCGUUCUGCUCAGCCCCACGCCGCCCCGGUGCUGGCCAGCCCCGCUCCCACCCCUGCCACCAGCGUGCGGAGGCUGCGGCCGCGCACCCAGCUGCAGAGCAGAGCACAGGGGAGACUCCCCGGGCUGCAGCAGCCAUGGCCGUGCCGCUUCCUUCAGUGCUCGAGCAGGAGCUGAGCUGAGCAGAGGUGAAAAACCUCAGCCAGAGGUUUGCGGUCUUCGCCACAUGCAAAACUCCGUGCUCGUUUUCGCUCUCCCACGCUGGGCGGAGAGGCUGAGCGUUCCCCCGACAGGGCUCCCUCCUCCCCGGCCGGACACGGAGAGGGGGCACGGCCACUGCGGGUGCACCAGCCUGCAAGGGAAAUCCUCAAAUCCCACCUUGCCGGAGCCCCCCCAGCCGCAGGGGCUGGGUUCCCAGCUCGGGGACCUCCUGCCUGUCCCUCCUAUCGUCCCCUUCUCCUCUCCGUGGCUCCCAGAAAUGAGCCGGCAGUACCGGGAGCUGCAGAGGCAGACGGCAGCCCACAGCCAGCGCCUGGAGGCGAAGGUGAACAGCCUGCAGGAGCAGCUCGGUACGGCCCCGGCACGCUCCCCCCUUGCUGCUGGGAUGGGGACGGGUUAAUUCCAGGGCACCAAAGCACAUUUUGGGGGGAGAAGCGGGAGAUGGGAGCCACUCGCCCUGUGCUGUCUGCCCAGCAGGAGCUGAAGGCAAAGCCUGACCCUGCUCCCAGCACAUCCCCGAGCUUGGGAGGUGCUGACUGCAGAGGGGACGCUGCGAUCCCACCCCGUCCCCAAACCCUGUGCCGCCCCAUCCCCAACCCCUGUGCCCAGGAGCCCAGGAGCAGGGACAGCUCGGGCAGGGGCUGUGCCACACUGCCCGCUCCGUCCCACACCAUUCGUGCAGUGCCAGCCUCCUGCACCCACGUGCUCAGUGUCCCCUGUCCCCAACCCCGCAGCCACCAGGCUCCAGGAGAGCCAGCAGAGCCACCAGGCUGCCACCACGGCCCUGGCAGAGCGGGACAGGACCAUCACCCAGCUGCAGGGCAGGAUGAGCGCCAUGGAGAGGGAGUAUGAGCAGAUCCUCCACGUGAGCGGGGACAUUUUCGGGGUGGCUCCCCCUGGCAGCACCGUUCCCCCCCCCCCUCACCGUCCUUUCUCCCACCAGGCCAGCCUGGACCUGGUGCUGGCCAAGCUGGCAGGGGCCAGGCAGCACUGGGAGGAGCAGGGCACGGCCAUCGCGCUGCAGCACAAGCAGCGCCUGCAGGAGUUCGGCCUCAACCCCCUGGAGAUGUAGCGCCCUGGGCACCCCCAGGAGGGGGUCAUCAGCACGUGGAGGGUCCCCCAGCUCCACCUCCACCGCCGCACCAGCUGGGUGACGGGUCCUGAGCGCCAGAGCCUCCGUUACACCACCCACGUGAACGGCGGAGUGGAUUCGCGUCCUUUAAUCCCACCCCAAAAGGGUGACGCGGGAACGGUGCCCUGCUGGGGGCAGAUCCCACCCGGAGUUCGCAGAGGGCAGGAGCACAAGGAGAUGUCCGUGCGGGGGCAGACCCCAGCCCGGCUCAGAGCUGGGGGGGUUCCUCCAGUGCCCCGCGGCCUCCGCUGCUCCUUCUCCCCUUCGCCCGAGGGCCAGCCCCGGGCUGAGCCGAGCUCCAGGCUCCCCAUCGCCCCGGGUCAUGGCGUGAAGGGCAGUGCCUUGGCUCUCCCGGGGGCAAUCCAGAGCCUGGAGCUGGGCGAGGGCUCGAGUGCCGCGUCCCUAAACACUCCCGGAGGCAUCGGGGCCGGCAAAGGCGCAGCUCUGCCUUCAGGUUGCCACUAAUAAAAGCCCGGGGCCAGCCUCGGGCA
rnacentral:lncRNA from 1 species